GUGCUCACAUCAGCAGCCCAUAUGCUAAGAUUGAAAUGAUACAGAAAAGAUUAGCAUGGCCCCCACACAAGGAUGACACAUAAAUUCACAAAGCAUUCUAUAAUUUA
ensembl:snRNA U6 U6 spliceosomal RNA